ensembl:lncRNA
GUAAAUCAGCAUUUUACACUUAAUUAUUGGAAAAUCUAUUAUGCCGAGAACUCAAACCAAAAUGACCGAACAGAGAAAAAAAAAGUUUGUUCGUGCAAGUAAAGUCAAACAAAAACCACACAGUUUCCAGUUGAAUUCUGCUCAGAAGUCAAUCAGUUUCCCUCGUAGCCUCAUAAGAUGAGGCUGAGAGCACAGACACGGAGCAGCUGAGCACCAUCCCGUCUGUGACUCCAGCAUGUGACCUGCCGCCCCGCGGCCUGUCUACCCAGAUGGCCACUUUCCUCUCCUCGGCCCCCCCUCCAUCCCCUCACAGCUGAGCCGGCCCCCCCGAGGGCCACGGGGGGGCCGAUCCACCGACAGCUCGCCGAGCCCGCCGCUAACCAGCGAGCCCAACGCCGAGCCGGGCCCGAGUUGCGUGCGGCUCGGUGGGCUGAGGGACUAAACGAUGUGUUGGUACGUAGAAAGGAUCACACAGAAGAAUUGAGGACUGGAAAAGCCUUCUCGUCAUCGUCGUGAUCUUCAUCUCCCUGAAUUCGCAGAGUCAACCCGUCGAUGUGAACAUCGACCUCGUGCAGCCUGACACGUAAUAUGUCCACCGUAUCAACGUUAUUUCUGUGUCGAUAUCGCCAACAUAAUGAAGCAGGUGUGCAGGAGCUUCUCUGUGAAGUGACUGCGGCGAGGAGGAGGGCAGCCGGCCUUCAGGUGGGCGUCCUCGUUACGUAGGACGCCGCGGGCCACGCCCCCCCCGCCGCCGACGUGGAACAUCUCCUCCGGGCCGCGUUUUUAUCGUUUCUGGACUUAAGUGUAGGCCACUUAACUAUGUAAGCUUCCGUAGUGAUCAUCCCAUUUAUCUGGGAUUAUUGCAGUGAAUUUACUGUUUGGUCUUCUUCCAGGCCUAAAAUGUCAAGUCCAAAGUCAUGUAUGCAGUAGCUUUAUUCCGUAAGACCUUCGCAGAUCCAUCCAAAGCUGAUAGCAGUUGAUCUUUGGAUAGAGCAUGAAAUAAAUAAAUCCUCUUUAGCAGAUCAAUAUUCAUCCCAUUUAAUGCUGGAUGUGAAACUGCUGGAUUUGAGGUGGUAAUGCUGAUGUACAGCUAAUCGUUGGAAAAUAAGCAGCGGGGCUUUGUGAUUCUCCAGCAGAUAGUUUAAACAGGAAGCCGGAUGAGUAAAGGCCGAUUGUCUGGGCAGUGAACAACCUGGUAGUGAUUACUUGUAAUUUAUACCUUCC